AGCGAACGCUGGCGGCAGGCUUAACACAUGCAAGUCGAGCGGGCGUAGCAAUACGUCAGCGGCAGACGGGUGAGUAACGCGUGGGAACAUACCUCUUGGUUCGGAACAACACAGGGAAACUUGUGCUAAUACCGGAUAAGCCCUUACGGGGAAAGAUUUAUCGCCGAGAGAUUGGCCCGCGUCUGAUUAGCUAGUUGGUGAGGUAACGGCUCACCAAGGCGACGAUCAGUAGCGGUCUGAGAGGAUGAUCAGCCACAUUGGGACUGAGACACGGCCCAAACUCCUACGGGAGGCAGCAGUGGGGAAUAUUGGACAAUGGGCGCAAGCCUGAUCCAGCCAUGCCGCGUGAGUGAUGAAGGCCCUAGGGUUGUAAAGCUCUUUUGUGCGGGAAGAUAAUGACGGUACCGCAAGAAUAAGCCCCGGCUAACUUCGUGCCAGCAGCAGCCGCGGUAAC
rnacentral:rRNA from 1 species